UUUUCCUUUCUGCCAGGGCGCCAGGCCAGGGAGGAGAGGUGGCAGGGCCCUGGGGACAGAGACAGAGGACCGGAGUCCGCCAGAGUGAGGCUGGGAGUGUGGCAAUGGCAAGGGUGAGUAGCUUAGCGCUGGCGCUGGUGAGCAGUAGGGACCCCGGGUGGGCGCAGAGCCCAGGGCACUGGUGAGCAGUAGGGACCCUGGGUGGGUGCAGAGCCCGGGGCGCUGGUGAGCAAUGUGGACCCCGGGUGGGUGCAGAGCCUAGGGCGCCGCCUGGCUUAGAGGGGCCUGGGGUCCCGAGAGGUGGCUGGGAGCCCUGGGCUGUGCCGAUCCCGGUCUCACUGAGUGACGGUGCCCCAGGACCCUGGCCAGGGCGGAGAGGGUCAGAGCCUGAUCCAGGGUUUGGGGAGAGGGGUCUGAGAAGAGCAGGCAGUGGCAGCAGGGAGGGCGCCCUCCUCAGUGCGGGACCUGUCCUGUCCCAACCGCACGCCCACAAUGGCCGGGGCCAGAGCCGGGGACAGCGACCACUGUGCAGACGGACCACACGUGCUUGGGACCUUGCCGCUCUCAGUGCAUCGAUUCCCGUGGGUCCCUAGUGAUCUCCAAAUAAAAGCUAAGAAGAAAACUCAGCCUGGCUGUGGAAGGACCGUAAAACUCUCGAAAAUACUCAGCUCAUCCCGUGCAAGACAAAGGUCCCAUUGGCCCAGGAUCUCACGGAGGGAAACUGGAUACCAAUCCCACCUGGGGACAGAAACGCAGGCGGCAGCGGACGCCCCACUGGUGCUGAGUGACAUGUGACAGCUCUCUUCAGGAGCAGCAAUACCCGCUGAUUAUCAGGGUCUGACAGGUCCGCUCAGCAUUUGGCUUGAAAGACCUGGGCCACCCGGCUGGUCCUAUGGGCCUCUGGGGGCGGUGUUCAAACAAACAAGGCAGCAUGCAUCAAAAGAGCGCCCGCCCUCGGAGGCCCAGGACCCCAGAGAGACCUGGCGGUGGCCGCCUCUCACCGGAAAAGCAGAGUGAAGGGGGGCGAGAGGGUGAAGGAGACCUCACCGCCCGUCUGUCACUCCCAGCAGGAGUAGGGGGUGGGCGUGGACCGGGACUGCGCUGAGGGACAGCAAGGUGUGGAGGCCGUGCCCGUUCCUCCCUCCCCCAGCACCUCCACGCUUCCUCUUAGCACUUCGGUGGUGGAGUCCGUCCGUGCAGUCUCUUCGCUCCCGGCACUUCCUGAGGGCCCAGAGUUCCACCCUGUUACAGUGCGACUCCUUCCUGCAGUUCUAGGGCCUGGGGUCCAAGGGGAGGCCUGGAGGUUGCAGGAGGACGAGAAAGGAGGCCCCAGUGGCCCAGAGGCUGCUCCCCAGGCCGACCCGGGGGACAGGCAGAUACCCGAGGGGUCCGCAGCUGGCCCAGAAGCUUGUACUCCAGAUGUGGGGGAGGGAGGCCGGCUGUCCACUCCGAGAGAGACACCACACAACUGCAGGGAGUGCAGAGCUGAAAGCAGGGCAUGAUGGGUGGCACACCUCUGUAAACCUAGCCCUGUGGGAGGCUGAGGCAGGGGGAUCGUAAGCUCAGGCCCAGCCGACACUACUUAGCAACUUAGGGGGAGGAAGAGUCCUUUCUCUGGACUGGCAUCGCCUUCUCCUGCCCUGAGGUAUCCGUGCCCAGUCUCAGGGCCUUUGGACUGGGACGGAACCAUGCAGCCACUUUCCGGCACACAGUCUCAGGUCCUGGGACUUUGGCCCCUGAUCUCAUACACCAGACCUGUGUGUCUCUCCCUCCUGUCAGUCCACAUCUGCAGAGCUGGGGCCGUUGCGCUUGUCCUUGUAGAAUUAAUAAUUAAACAGCAGUUUAAAACUCUAA